CAGUACCGUGAGGGAAAGGUGAAAAGCACCCCGACGAGGGGAGUGAAACAGUACCUGAAACCGAACGCCUACAAUCAGUCGGAGCCUCCUUGCGGGGUGACGGCGUACCUUUUGUAUAAUGGGUCAUCGACUUGGUCUAUCUAGCAAGCUUAAGCCGUUAGGUGUAGGCGCAGCGAAAGCGAGUCUUAAUAGGGCGUCGAGUUAGAUGGAUCAGACCCGAAACCGAGG
rnacentral:rRNA from 15 species